GAUGAACGCUGGCGGCGUGCUUAACACAUGCAAGUCGAACGGAAAGGCCCUGCGUUUGUCGUGUGCCCGAGUGGCGAACGGGUGAGUAACCCGUGAGUAACCUGCCCUUGACUGUGGGAUAACUUCAGGAAACUGGGGCUAAUCCCGGUUAGGUGCUCCUGCUGCAUGGUGGGGGUUUGAAAGUUUCGGCGGUGUGUGAGGGGCUCGCGGCUUAUCAGCUUGUGGGUGAGGUGUCGGCUUACCAGGGCGAUGACGGGUAGGGGGUCUGAGAGGGAGACCCACCACACGGGGACUGAGAAACGGGCGCGACUCCUACGGGAGGCAGCAGUAAGGAAGAUUGGACAAUGGGGGAAAGCCGGAUCCAGCCAUGCCGGGUGCAGGAAGAAGGCCCUAGGGGUGGUAAACUGCUUUUGAGAGGGAGAAAUAAGGGCGAUGCGUCGCUCGAUGAUAGUACUUCUCGAAUAAGCAUCGGCUAACUUCGUG
rnacentral:rRNA from 1 species